rnacentral:rRNA from 1 species
GAUGAACGCUAGCUACAGGCUUAACACAUGCAAGUCGAGGGGCAGCAUGUUGGUUGCUUGCAACCAAUGAUGGCGACCGGCGCACGGGUGAGUAACGCGUAUCCAACCUACCCAAUACUCAGGCAUAACCCGUUGAAAGACGGACUAAUUCCUGAUGGUAUGUAUUUUUCUCAUGAAUUAUACAUUAAAGAAUUUCGGUAUUGGAUGGGGAUGCGUCUGAUUAGUUUGUUGGUGAGGUAACGGCUCACCAAGACUUCGAUCAGUAGGGGUUCUGAGAGGAAGGUCCCCCACAUUGGAACUGAGACACGGUCCAGACUCCUACGGGAGGCAGCAGUGAGGAAUAUUGGUCAAUGGACGGAAGUCUGAACCAGCCAAGUAGCGUGCAGGAUGACGGCCCUCCGGGUUGUAAACUGCUUUUAGUUGGGAAUAAAAAAGAGGACGUGUCCUCUAUUGUAUGUACCUUCAGAAAAAGGACCGGCUAAUUCCGUGCCAGCAGCCGCGGUAAUACGGAAGGUCCAGGCGUUAUCCGGAUUUAUUGGGUUUAAAGGGAGCGUAGGCGGAUUAUUAAGUCAGUGGUGAAAGACGGUGGCUCAACCAUCGUUAGCCAUUGAAACUGGUAGUCUUGAGUGCAGACAGGGAUGCUGGAACUCGUGGUGUAGCGGUGAAAUGCUUAGAUAUCACGAUGAACUCCGAUCGCGAAGGCAGGUGUCCGGGCUGCAACUGACGCUGAGGCUCGAAAGUGUGGGUAUCAAACAGG